rnacentral:rRNA from 1 species
UACGGGGGAUGCAAGCGUUAUCCGGAAUCAUUGGGCGUAAAGGGCACGCAGGCGGCCUGGUAAGUCAGAUGUGAAAGCCCGGGGCUUAACCCCGGAAGUGCAUUUGAAACUAUCAGGCUUGAGUAUGGGAGAGGGAAGUGGAAUUCCUGGUGUAGAGGUGAAAUUCGUAGAUAUCAGGAGGAACACCGGUGGCGAAGGCGACUUCCUGGACCAAUACUGACGCUGAGGUGCGAAGGCGUGGGGAGCAAACAGG